rnacentral:rRNA from 1 species
UACGUAGGGGGCAAGCGUUGUCCGGAAUCAUUGGGCGUAAAGAGCGUGUAGGCGGCCCGAUAAGUCCGCUGUGAAAGUCCAGGGCUCAACCCUGGGAUGCCGGUGGAUACUGUCGGGCUCGAGUCCGGAAGAGGAGUGUGGAAUUCCUAGUGUAGCGGUGAAAUGCGCAGAUAUUAGGAGGAACACCGGUGGCGAAGGCGCCACUCUGGGCCGAAACUGACGCUGAGGAGCGAAAGCAUGGGUAGCAAACAGG